GCGUCUCAGUAGCUCAAUUGGAUAGAGCAUCCCCCUCCUAAGGGGAAGGUUGCAGGUUCUUAUCAGGACAAUGUUUUACUGCACAAAGGGAAUGGCCUGGAUUGCA
rnacentral:tRNA from 1 species